rnacentral:rRNA from 1 species
AUUGAACGCUGGCGGCAUGCCUUACACAUGCAAGUCGAACGGUAACAGGUCUUCGGACGCUGACGAGUGGCGAACGGGUGAGUAAUACAUCGGAACGUGCCCGAGAGUGGGGGAUAACGAGGCGAAAGCUUUGCUAAUACCGCAUACGAUCUCAGGAUGAAAGCAGGGGACCGCAAGGCCUUGCGCUCACGGAGCGGCCGAUGGCAGAUUAGGUAGUUGGUGGGAUAAAAGCUUACCAAGCCGACGAUCUGUAGCUGGUCUGAGAGGACGACCAGCCACACUGGGACUGAGACACGGCCCAGACUCCUACGGGAGGCAGCAGUGGGGAAUUUUGGACAAUGGGCGCAAGCCUGAUCCAGCCAUGCCGCGUGCAGGAUGAAGGCCUUCGGGUUGUAAACUGCUUUUGUACGGAACGAAAAGACUCUGGUUAAUACCUGGGGUCCAUGACGGUACCGUAAGAAUAAGCACCGGCUAACUACGUGCCAGCCGCCGCCGUAA